CAGAAGCUUAGCUCGUUGCAACAUGGCAAAUUGAACCUCCCCCACCCUCAUUCAGAUCUGGCGUUUGGAACUGUUUUGGUCUUCAUGUGAAGUAUGACCCUGAAGGAAAAUCAGUCGAUCUGAGUCGGUGCAGUCUGAUAAGGAACGUUACCUUUGAGGAUGAGAGCCAUUCUGCUGGACGUUUGGAUUGUACUGACUGGACCCUGGAGUCAGAGGCAUGCUAGCAGCUGGGGAAACUGAUGAUUUCAUCAUACCUUCAGUGGAGCACUGAAUGCCUGAGGUGGGCCCCCAUAAUGCCCGUAGAGGGGCUGCGUAGGACCAGAUCCGAAUCCACCUUGA